rfam:Trichobilharzia regenti genome assembly, scaffold: TRE_scaffold0025770
AUCCAGUGACGAGUCCUAAACAGGACGAAACAAGAAUCCUGGAU